rnacentral:rRNA from 1 species
CCAUCUCUUACCCAUGUCUUUUGAGUACCUUACGUUUCCUCGGCGGGUCCGCCCGCCGAUUGGACAAUUUAAACCACUUGCAGUUGCAAUCAGCGUCUGAAAAAACUUAAUAGUUACAACUUUCAACAACGGAUCUCUUGGUUCUGGCAUCGAUGAAGAACGCAGCGAAAUGCGAUAAGUAGUGUGAAUUGCAGAAUUCAGUGAAUCAUCGAAUCUUUGAACGCACAUUGCGCCCCUUGGUAUUCCAUGGGGCAUGCCUGUUCGAGCGUCAUUUGUACCUUCAAGCUUUGCUUGGUGUUGGGUGUUUGUCUCGCCUCUGCGCGCAGACUCGCCUCAAAACAAUUGGCAGCCGGCGUAUUGAUUUCGGAGCGCAGUACAUCUCGCGCUUUGCACUCAGAACGACGACGUCCAAAAGUACAUUUUUACACUCUUGACCUCGGAUCAGGUAGGGAUACCCGCUGAACUUAAGCAUAUCAAUAAGCGGAGG